rnacentral:rRNA from 1 species
AUUGAACGCUGGCGGCAUGCCUUACACAUGCAAGUCGAACGGCAGCACGGGAGCAAUCCUGGUGGCGAGUGGCGAACGGGUGAGUAAUAUAUCGGAACGUGCCCAGUCGUGGGGAUAACGUAGCGAAAGCUACGCUAAUACCGCAUACGAUCUAUGGAUGAAAGCGGGGGAUCGCAAGACCUCGCGCGAUUGGAGCGGCCGAUAUCAGAUUAGGUAGUUGGUGAGGUAAAGGCUCACCAAGCCGACGAUCUGUAGCUGGUCUGAGAGGACGACCAGCCACACUGGGACUGAGACACGGCCCAGACUCCUACGGGAGGCAGCAGUGGGGAAUUUUGGACAAUGGGCGCAAGCCUGAUCCAGCAAUGCCGCGUGCCAGGAUGAAGGCCU